rnacentral:rRNA from 1 species
AUUGAACGCUGGCGGCAUGCCUUACACAUGCAAGUCGAACGGUAACGCGGGGCAACCUGGCGACGAGUGGCGAACGGGUGAGUAAUGCAUCGGAACGUGCCCAUCAGUGGGGGAUAGCCCGGCGAAAGCCGGAUUAAUACCGCAUACGACCUGAGGGUGAAAGCGGGGGACCGUAAGGCCUCGCGCUGAUGGAGCGGCCGAUGUCGGAUUAGCUAGUUGGUGGGGUAAAGGCUUACCAAGGCAACGAUCCGUAGCUGGUCUGAGAGGACGAACAGCCACACUGGGACUGAGACACGGCCCAGACUCCUACGGGAGGCAGCAGUGGGGAAUUUUGGACAAUGGGCGCAAGCCUGAUCCAGCCAUGCCGCGUGCGGGAAGAAGGCCUUCGGGUUGUAAACCGCUUUUGUCAGGGAAGAAACGGUCUGAACUAAUACUUUGGACUAAUGACGGUACCUGAAGAAUAAGCACCGGCUAACUACGUGCCAGCCGCCGCAGUAACAC